UUUAAAAUAUGUGUAUUUGUACAUUUCUUUGAUCAUGGCUUGCAUAUUUUUUUAGCAAAAUCUCCUUCAGAAUUCUAGUUUUUAAACAGAUAGAAAAGGAGCUUCUGUGAAUCGUGAGUGGGGGUUCUAGAGCCCUAGACUGUAGCCAAACUCCAACCUACAUCUCCUCUCCCCAACCCUCUCCACCCUCUUGACCAAAAGAUGCUCUUCUGCAGAACACCCACGUCAGUAUAUAAAGUCACCCUGUAACUGUGGACAGAGUGUGCAGCUUAAAGUCAAGAAGUCCUUGGGUCAUAGCUCUAUUACUUAGGAGCUAUGUGACCUUGAGCAGAUAAGUCAGUCACUUAACUUCUUUGGCCUCAGAUAGGGCUAGAUGAUUUUAAAAUCCUUUUUCACUAAAUACCAGUCUAUAAUUCUAAUGAAUAACAAUGUUACUUGCAAAAUCACUUUAACUUUUCUAAAACAAGAAUCUCCGAAAUGUUUGGGGUCAGUGUAACAAACUUUAGUGUGCAAUUAAGAAAACCUACAUUUUUCAAUUGUCUUCUUUCUCCUGUGUCGUUAACUUUUAUCUCAGUGGGUUUUGGGUCCCCUCAGCAUUUAAGUAUGUCCAGAUUUCUCCCGUUUUAAAAUAGUCAAAACAACCCCAAAUUCCACUCCAUCUACCAUGUUGUUCAAGGAAACUUGAAGUGAACCUUCUCAGGAUUGAUGGCUACGUUUACUGUCUCAGUGUUCUUACCGUCUGUCGCUUCUAAACUCACCCAUCUGGCCUCAGCUGCUUACGGAGCAAUGAUGUCAGUAUCAUUAAAGCAUAUGGCUGCCUUCUGUCCUUGUACACUUGACUUUGCAGCAGCAUUUAACUCCAGUUAUGUCUUCCUUCUUAAAGUGUUCUCGUCCCUUUGUUUUGACACCACACUUUACAAGUUCCUUUUUCCUCUUUUGGCUGUGCCUUGUAAGUUCCCUUUUUUGGCUCUUUCUUCUUUAGCCUUUAAAGUUCUGUUUCAGGCCAUCUUUUUUCCCUCAGGCCUGCACUGUCUUCCUAGGUGAUUUAACCUUUCCUUUAUUUUAGACUCAUAGUACUUACACAGCAUCUUUAGUGAGACAUUUUACAAGUGCUUCAAAUUCACCGUAUUUACAAAAACUCACUGUUCUUGAGCUAUCCCACCCCAGUACUCCACCUGAAUUUUUCCUUCCACUUGUGUUUCCAUUACCAGUAAAUGUCAUAUCUGGCUGAGUUUGCCAAAAACCUGCAAGUCAUCCUUACAGCACCCUCUCUUUCACCUUCCGUUCCCAAACACAAAGGCUUUUGAUUUCUGUAUUCUAAAUAGUUACAGAGUCUUUACUUUUCUGACAUCACCAUUCCCAUCACUUCAGUGCAUUUUUUGACUUAGACUAUUCUGGUAGCUUUCUAACCAGCCCCCUUCUACUCAUAUUACCUUCUUGGACUUUUUUACAUGGCAGCUACAGUGAUUUCUUUUUGUCUCUUAACAAAUCAAAAGCAUUUAUCAAGCACCUAACACAUGCAAGGCACUAGUGGUACAAAAGGCUAGGAGGUUAGAAGGGAAAGCUUGCAACUUAACGCAACAAUUUUCUUUGCUCCACAUGCGCUCUGACAGCUUGCACCAGAUCACCCUCCUAACCCAAGAAACUGGUAAUGGUGGUUGUUUCUGGGAGAGUAACUGGAUAGCUGAGUGAUGGAAAUGUAGGAAAUACUAUUUUGUAUAUUUUUUGUACCCUGUGCAUAUAUUACUUAGUCAAAAUAUUAAAACUAAAAAUGUAUUUUUUUCCUACAAAUAUUUAUCUUUUUUCUUUGAGUAAUUAUUGUGGUGAGUAUAGUUAUCCCGUUCAGCAAAUAAUGUUUUUUCAGACUCAAAGUAGCCCUGAGUUUCUCUACAUGGAGGUCUUAUCAAACCAUGAGGGCAGAACAAAUUCUGAGCCUUAAAAGAUGUGGCUAGGCUGUGUGGCUUCCAAAUAGUUCCAUUUAAUGUACAGUUCUUCGUAUUUACAUGUUUUAUCAGGAACCACCCCAUUCUUCUGGUCUCAGUUCAGAGAAAACACUGUAUCUCUGAUUCAGAGAGAGUUUAAUGACAUGAGAGGUAGUCAGAAAGAAGAGCAGGAAGUAAUUAAUGGGAAGAGGGAGGUACACUAUAGGAACACUAAACUGCAGUGUGUUCCUAAUUGAAAUCAAAGUUCAGCAGCUAAGUUAUGUACCCAGAACUCUUAAGUCCUUCAAGAGAGAUUAAACAUUUCCCAUAUAAAUGAAGGCUGAAGGAAUUCAUAACCACUAAACUGUCACUACAGGAUAUGUUAAAGGGACUUCUAUAGAUGGAAAUGUUCCUAAGCCUACACCAGCAAAAAUAAACCUACAGUAAAGGCAGGAUACCAAUUCGUUACCAAGCAAGUAUGAAAUUAAAACAAAAGUACUAAAACCAACUAUGCACAAAAUCAGUUAAGGGAUACUCAGAAAUGCAGAUUGUAACAUCUAAUACAUAAAGUGAGGAGGAAAAAGAAGAAAAAAAGUACUUUUAGAUUGUCUUUGAAAUAGAGCAAUCAUCAGUUUCAUAUAGACUGUUAUAUAGUUAGAAAGCUUUCCCUUGAACCUUAUGGUAACUGCAAACCUAAAGCCUAUAAUAGAUACAGAAAAAAUUCAAAAAGAGGAAUCCAAUCACAAUGCUAAAGAAAACCAUCAAAUAACAAGAGAUGAGAAUAAGAGAGGGAGAAAGGAAUAGAGAGGACCUAUAAAUAACCAGAAAACAGUUAAUAAAAUGGCAGUACGUACAUACCCAUCAAUAAUUAUCUUAAAUGUAAAUGGACUGAAUGCACCAGUCAAAAGACAUAGAGUGGCAGAAUGGAUAAAGAAGCAAGACCCAUCUAUAUGCUGCCCAUAAGAGACUCAUUUCAGACCCAAAGAUAUAUACAGACUGAAAGAUAAGGGAUGGAAAAAGAUAUAGCAGGAAGAAAAAGGAGUAGCAGUACUUAGACAAAAUACUUCAAAACGAAGAAAGUAUCAAGAGACAAGAAGGACAUUACAUAAUGAUAAAGGGGUCAGUCCAACAAAAGGAUAUAAUCAUUAUAAAAAUCUCUGCACCCAACGUAGGAGCACCUAAAUAUGUAAACAAAUACUAACAGAAUUAAAGAGGGAAAUAGACUACAACUCACUUAUAUUAGGAGACUUUACCAUACCACACAUCAAUAGAUCAACCAAACAGAAAAUAAAUAAGAAAAUAGCGGCACUGAACAACACAUUAGAUGAGAUGAACUUAACAGAUAUCUACAGAACAUUCCACCCAAAAGCAGCAGGAUACACAUUUUUCUCAAGUGUACAUGGAACAUUUACCAGAUUAGGUCACGUACUAGGCCACAAAAAGAACCUCAAUAAAUUCACAAAGAAGACAGAAAAGCCCACAACACAUGGAGGCUAAACAACAUGCUUGUCAAUAAUCAGUGGGUAAAUGAACAAAUUGAAACAAAUCAAGUAAUGUGUGGAGACAAAUGAAAACAAAAAUUGAACAGUCCAAAAUUUGUGGGAUGCUGUAAAAAAGCAGUUAUAAGAGUACAUAGUGAUACAGGCCUCCUUCAAGAAACAGGAACAAUCCCAAAUAAAGAGUCUAAACUCACAACUGAAAAAACUAGAAAAAGAAGAACAAAUGAAACACAAAGUUAUUAGUAGACGGAAGGACAUAAUAAAGAUCAGAGCAGAGCUAAAUAAAAUAGAGAAGUUUUAAACAACAGAAAAAAACAAUGAAACCAAGAGUUGAUUCUUUGAGAAAAUAAACAAAAUAGACAAAUCCCUAGCCAGACUUACCAAGACAAAGAGUACACAAACAAAAUCAGAAAUGAAGAAAACACAAUGGAUACCACAGCAAUACAAAGAAUUAUUAGAGAAUUUAAGAAAAAUUAUAUGCCAAUAAGUGGAUAAUCUAGAAGAAAUGGAUAAAUUCUUAGAAAAAGUCAACCUUCCAUGAGUGACACAGGAAGAAACAGAAAAUCUAAAUAGACUGAUUACCAACAAUGAAAAUGAAUUAGUAAUCAAAAACUCCCAACAAACAAAAGUCCAAUACCAGAUGCCUUCACAGCCUAAUUUUACCAAACAUUUAAAGAAGAAUAACACCCAUCCUUAAAAGUAUUCCAAAAGAUUGAAGAGGAGGGAAUACUUAAAAACUCACUCUGUAAGGCCAGGAUCACUCUUAAAACCAAAACCAGAUAAAGACACUGCAAAAAAGAAAGUUACAGACCUAUAUCCCUGAUGAACAUAGAUGCAAAAAUCCUCAACUAAAUAUUAGCAAACUGAAUUAAAAAGUACAUCAAAAGGAUCAUCCAUCAUGACCAAGCAGGAUUUAUUGCAGGGAUGAAAAGAUGGUAUAAUAUUCAUAAAUCAACAUCAUAAACCACAUUAACCAAAAAAAAGAUAAAAAUCACAAGAUCAUCUCAAUAGAUGCUGAAAAAGCAUUUGACAAAAUUCAACAUACAUUCAUGAUAAAAACUCUCAACAGAAUCACUAUAGAGGGUACAUACUUCAACAUGAUAAAUUCCAUGUGCAACAUACCCACAACUAACAUCAUACUUAGUGGUGAAAAGCUGAAAGCUUUUCCUCUAAGAUCAGGAAUGAGGCAAGGAUGUCCACUCAUCACUUUUAUUCAACACAGUACUGAAGGUCCUAGCCAUAGCAAUCAGACAAGAUAAGAUAAAAGGCUUCCAAAUAGGUAAGGAGGAAGUUAAAUUGUCAAUAUUUAUAGGUGACAUGAUAUUAUAUGUAGAAAACCCUAAGGACUCCACCAAAAUCUAUUAGAACUAAUAACUGAAUUCAGAAAAGUUGCAGGAUACUAAAUGAAUAAACAGAAAUCUAUUGCAUUCCUAUAUGCUAACAACAGACUAGCAGAAAGAGAAAUCAGGAAAACAAUUCCUUUUACAAUUGCAUGAAAAAUAAUAAAACACCUAGGAAUAAACCUAACCAAGGAGGUGAAAGACCUGUACUCUGAAAACUGUAAGAAACUUGAGAAAAAGUAAAGAGGACACAAAUAAAUGGAAAUAUAUCCCAUGCUCAUGGAUUGGAAGAAUUAGUAUUGUCAAAAUGGCGAUCCUGCACAAAGCAAUUUACUGAUUCAGUGCAAUCCCAAUGAAAAUACCAACAGCAUUUUUGAAUGAACUAGAACAAAUAAUACUAAAAUUCAUAUGGAACCACAAAAGACCCUGAAUAGCCAAAGCAAUCCCAAGAAAGAACAAAACUGGGGAUAUUAUGCUCUCUGACUUCAAGCUAUAUUAAAAACUACAGUAAUCAAAACAGUUUGGUACUGGGACAAAAAUAGACCUGUAGAUCAAUGGAACAUAAUAAAGGGCCCAGGUGUAAACCCAUGCAUAUAUGGUCAGUUAAUACAUGAUAAAGGAGUCAUGAAUAUACAGUGGGGAAAAGACAGCCUCUUUGAUAGCUGAUGCUGGGGAAACUGGACAGCUGCAUGCAAAAGAAUGAAACUGGGUUAUUGUCUAACACCAUACACAAAAGUAAGCUCAAAAUGGAUAUAAGACAUGAAACCAUAAAACUCUUUUAGAAGAAAAUAUAGGCAAAAAUCUCCUGAACAUAACCAUGAGCAAUUUUUUCCUGGACACAUUUCCUUGGGCAAUGGAAACAAAAUGAGCAGUAGGACUACAUCAAACUAAAAAGCUUCGGUACAGCAAAGGACACCAUCAGCAGAACAAAAAGGCAACCUAUAGUAUGGGAGAAUAUACUUAUAAAUGAUUUAUGUGUUAAGGAGUUAACAUCCAAAAUAUAUAAAGAACUCAUAUGCUUCAACACCAAAAAACAAUCUGAUUAAAAUGUGGGUGGAGGACCUGAACAGACAUCUCUCCAAAAAGAAAUACAGAUGGCCAACAGUCACAUGAAAAGAUGUUCCACACCGAUGGUCAUCAGGGAAAUGUAAAUUAAAACCACAAGGAGAUAACUCAUACCAGUUAGAAUGGUCAUUAUCCAAAAGAUAAGAAAUAACAAGUAUUGGCAAGACUGUGGAGAAAUGGGAAUGCUGCUACACUGUUGGUGGGAAUGUAAGUUGGUGCAGCCACUAUGGAAAGCAGUAUGGAUGUUCCUCAAAAAACUAAAGAUAGAAAUAACAUAUGACCCCAUAACUCCACUUGUAGGCAUUUACACAAAGAAAACAAAAUCCCUGAUUCGAAAAGAUACAUGCACCCCUGUUUUUCACUGCUUUAUUUACAGUAGCCAAGUUACAGAAUCAGCCUAAGUGUCCAUCAGUAGAUGAAUGUAUAAAGAUGUGGUUCAUAUACACAAUGGAAUAUUAUUCAGUCAUAGAAAAAGAAAUCCUGCCAUUUGUGACAACAUGGAUGGACCUGAAGGUUAUUAUGCUCAUUGAAAUAACCCAGGUGGAGAAAGAUAAAUACCAUAUGAUUUUACUUAUUUGUGGAAUCUGAAAAACAAAACAGAAUGAACAAACAUCUGUAGACUCAUAGACACUGAUAAGUGACUAGUGGAUACCAUGGGGGAGAAGUUGGAGUGGGUGGGUGAGAAGGGUGAGGGGGAUAAAGGGGCACAAAAAUACUCAAUUAUAAUAGAAGUUGGUCACAGGGAUAGUAGUACAGCAUGGAAAAUAUAGUCAGUGAUUCUGCAACAUCUUCCUGUGUUGACAGAUAGUAACUGUACUAGUGGUGGUGAUGAUUUAAUAAUAUGGGUAAUUGUUGAGCCAAUAUGUUGUAUACUUGAAAUGAGUAUAAGAUUGUCUAUCAAUACUUCAGUUAGAAAAAGAAAGAUAAAUUUAUGUUCUUAGAAAAAAGAAAAGAAAAAAAGUCCUUCAGGAAGCCCUCUACAUUUUAGUAGGAAUGUGUUCAGGUAGAAGGGAACAGAAAACACACAAAAAACAAAACAGGAGAAGGUUGUAAUAAUUUCAAGAUAAACAGAAGAGAGCAAACUGCACGUAAUUGUUUUGGAGGCUUGUGAUAAUUUGGCUAAAAAUUCUGAGUAAAACAAUUUAAUGAAAAAAAGUUGAUCCAUACAAGAAUUUGUUAAAAAUUAUAAUUUAGUCAAAAAUCCCAACCACAGAAAUUGUGUCAGUUCAUAUCCAGACACUGUUUCUGCUCUCUAAAGUGUGUCAUAGAGAAAAUUUAUAACAUCUUAAAUAGUCAACAAUAAAAGAUCAAUUAGGUAGAGUAACUUAAAAAUCUUUUGAAUAUAUGUAUAAAAGAUAAGAACACAGCCCAAUCCCAAACCAGAGAACAGGCAACUGGCUUGAAAUGAAUAGGGUAAAAAAAAAUUAUGGUCAGAAAAAAAGUCUAGUUUCCUUUACUUUAAAAAAAUUUUUUUAAUUAUUAUAAAAAACAGCACUAACAAGGAACUACCUAAAAGAAAUGAAAACAUAUGUCCAUACAAAGACAUGAACACAGUGUUCAUAGCAACAUUGAUUAUAGUAGCCCUAAACUGGAAACAGUCCAAAUGUCUAUCAACUGAUGAAUGAGUAAACAAAUGUGGUAUAUCAAUACAAUGGAAUGCUAUUCAGCAACAAAAAAGAAUGAAUACUGAUGAUGCUUCAUUGUGCAUGAACCUCAAAAACAUGCUAAGUGAAAAAAGUUGGACACAAGAGACCACAUAUUGAUUCUAUUUAUAUGAAAUCUCAUUUGUAAAGGCAAAGAGGAGAUCAGUGGUUCUCUAGGUCUAGGAGUGGCAGCAGGAAUGAACUGUAAACCUCUAUGAAGGAAACUUCCGGGUGAUGGAAACAUUCUAAAACUGAAUUGUAGUGAUUGUUGUUCAACUCUAUAAAUUUAUUAAGAUCAUUGAAUUUAUACUUAAAAUUGGUUGGAUUUAUGGUGUGUAAAGUGUACUUCUUUAAAGGUGCCAAAAAGAAAAAAAAAAAGAAAAGCGUAGUCAUUACCAAAAA